rnacentral:rRNA from 1 species
UACGUAGGGGGCAAGCGUUGUCCGGAAUCAUUGGGCGUAAAGAGCGUGUAGGCGGCUCGAUAAGUCCGCUGUGAAAGUCCAGGGCUCAACCCUGGAAGGCCGGUGGAAACUGUCGGGCUAGAGUCCGGAAGAGGCGAGUGGAAUUCCCGGUGUAGCGGUGAAAUGCGCAGAUAUCGGGAGGAACACCAAUGGCGAAGGCAGCUCGCUGGGACGGUACUGACGCUGAGGCACGGAAAGCGUGGGGAGCAAACAGGG